CGCCGCGGCCCGUGGUUGCGGGUUGCUGGAGCUGGUGCUCUGCUCUUCAGGUUCCCCGGCCGCAGGCGGCGGAGCUGCCCCGGGACAGCGGGGUUCGCGUCGGCACCGAGCAGAUACCAUUGUGUGGUCUUAAUCAGGAAUGAAGUGUUCUGAAAGCAAAGAGCAGAAGCCUGUUUGAUGGACAUGGAAGACAAAAGACGGCGAGCACGUGUGCAGGGAGCCUGGGCUGGCCCUGCUAAGAGCCAGGCCGCCGCUCAGCCAGCCACCACGGCAAAGAGCCAUCUCCACCAAAGGCAUGGUCAGACCUGGACAAACAAGGAGCAUCAUCUUUUGGACACACAGUUUGUGUUCAGAGAACCCCAGGAGGUAGUACGCAGAGUCCCAGAGCCACGAGUGAUUGACAAAGAAGGUGUGUAUGAUAUCAGCGUGUCACCCACAGGUGUGUCUAGGGUGUGUUUGUAUCCUGGCUUUGUUGACCUAAAAGAAGCUGACUGGGUAUUAGAACAACUUUGUGAGGUUGUUCCCUGGAAACAGAGGACCGGCAUCAGAGAGGAUGUUACUUACAAGCAACCAAGACUUACAGCAUGGUAUGGAGAACUUCCUUACACUUACUCAAGAAUCACUAUGGAACCAAAUUCGCACUGGCAUCCCGUGCUGCUCACGCUGAAGGACCAGAUUGAAAAGAACACCGGCCACACCUUCAACUCCUUGCUCUGUAACCUUUACCGAAAUGAGAAAGACAGUGUCGACUGGCACAGUGAUGAUGAACCUGCGCUCGGGAGAUGUCCCAUCAUUGCUUCGCUGAGUUUUGGUGCCACACGCACUUUUGAGAUGAGAAGGAAGCCCCCACCAGAAGAGAAUGGAGACUACACCUAUGUGGAAAGAGUGAAGAUACCCUUGGAUCAUGGGACCUUGUUAAUCAUGGAAGGAGCUACACAAGCCGACUGGCAGCAUCGAGUGCCCAAAGAGUACCACUCCAGAGAACCGAGAAUAAACCUGACCUUCCGGACGGUUUAUCCAGACCCCAGAGGGGCGCGCUGGUGACAGGCGGUCUUUGCGAGGAGCUGUGCUGAGACUGAGCUGAGAUUCCCGCCCUGAAGAGACUUCCAGAGGCCGGUCCAGCUGCUCUCACGGUGCAGCUGCUUGGAGGGCAAAUUAAAACCUGCUGUGGCCGUACCCAUGGGUGAUUCUGUCCAUAAGCCAUUUUUCUCCUGCCCUCCCUGCUUCACUGGAAGAAACGUGAAUGCGCUUUGCCUCUGGCGUAGAUCCGCACAUGUUCGUUCCUUGUGACUUGGUGAAGUGGAGCCACAAAUAUGUGUCACUGACUCUGGAGCCCCCGCAGGCCCACAGCUGCGGAGACCCAAACAGAGGUGGCUUCUCAGCCUUGUGGAAGGCUGCCGUGACUCCUCAGCAUCUUGGCUUGUGUGCUUUGUCAUGGAAAGCUGCCUGCUCUGGGAGCACUUUAUUUACCAGAGCCUCCUUCCUGGGACACAGACAGGUUACAGGCCUCUGAGUGAAGAGUGGAGGCUGUGUUAUCUCGCCCAGCCGUCUUCGGGCAGCCGCCUGCAUACUUAUAACAUGAGAGAAAACCAUCCCUCAGAGGGAGAAGUAGGGGCCUAUGAUGACAACCUUCUUCUGACUCAGUGCUCUCUCAGACACAAGUUCCUGAGAUCCAGCCCUUAGUCCGUGAUGUCACCAGAGUUCCGAAAACAGGACAGAGUGGCUGCCAUCUAUUGCAUCAUAAAGUCACGUGUCUUCUUGACCUGUUGUUGACUCAGGAGCACUGUGCCAGAUUGAUUCCAAACCGAGAUAUGGAGAACUUGAGAGAAAGAAAAUGGAUUCAAGUGGAUGAAAACAGGGCAAGAGAAUUAAGCUAGUUUCCCUAGCUCCCUGUGGGGAAAAUUUACAGAGCCUUGUUGCUUUUGAUCUUGUUUCCAUUCCAUGCUCUAAGAUUUAUGGCCUCUGUGAUCACAGUGAAGUCCCAAAGGCUGGUCAGGCCCUUCCCUAGAGCUCAGAUGUAACACCAGGCCUGACCAGGCCCUGUUCUCCGACAAGCUUUCUGGCUUCUUGCGUUGGGGUUCUCCCACCGCGUUCUUUAAAUGUUUCACAUAUGGAUAGCUCCUUUUUGUAAGAAACACCAAGUGCUUUAUAAAAUGUGAGCAUUAUAACGUGCUUUUCAGUGAGGGAGGGAGAUACAAAUCACCAUAAAAAUAAAAUAAAACCCCUGAUCCCUAGCUGGUUUCUUACUAAACAAAAUCUGGCCAGGGCGGUACAGCCGGCUUCGGUGUGGAGUUUGAUGCAUGCCACUGGGAAAUUCCUCUUCCAGUCCUACAAAUGAAAGAGCUGGCAGAUGGUUCCCAGUCUUAUGGCAUCCCUCCUAAUGUAGGGUCAUGAUCUCCCCUUGCGUCAGCUGCAGAUUUGAUCUCUUCACUCAUCACUGCCAUGUCUGUCAGGGUAAUGAAUUUCUGCUCGACAGCUGACAGCCUGGCCCACCACCUGGGCGUCUUCAUCUGAGAGCACAGGUCUUAGCUUUUGUUUCUUGCUGUCCAGUGCUAGACCUGCCUUUUCUC